rnacentral:rRNA from 1 species
GUCUAUGGUCAUACCAUCCUAAAUAUGCCUGAUCUCACCUGAUCUCAGAAGCUACGAAGGAUCAGGCCUGAUUAGAACUUGAUGGAAGACUACCUGUGAAUAUCAGUUGCUGCAGGGG